AGUCCUGAUUUCAAGGUUUCAUGCCUAAGCCAGGAACAGAAGACCGCUUAUGAACCCAACGAUUGCAGAAAAUAUAGUUGUCGUACAGAAGGGUGUCCUAAGAACUGCAGAUGUCCUGGUUGGCUCGCUCGAGUAACUCGAUCAGACACAUGUUAUUGGCCUUGAUUGCUUUCUUCAUUCACCAACAAUACAUCCAAUUGCUUGCUUUCUUCAUUCACCAACAAUACAUCUGAAAUAAAUGUCAAGGAGGUA